GUAGGGUGCGAGCGUUAAUCGGAAUUACUGGGCGUAAAGCGUGCGCAGGCGGUUGGUUAAGUCUGAUGUGAAAGCCCCGGGCUCAACCUGGGAAUGGCAUUGGAAACUGGCCAGCUGGAGUGUGGCAGAGGGGGGUGGAAUUCCGCGUGUAGCAGUGAAAUGCGUAGAGAUGCGGAGGAACACCGAUGGCGAAGGCAGCCCCCUGGGCCAACACUGACGCUCAGGCACGAAAGCGUGGGGAGCAAACAGGAUUAGAUACCCUGGUAGUCCACGCCCUAAACGAUGUCAACUGGGUGUUGGGGAAGCGAUUCCUUGGUACCGUAGCUAACGCGUGAAGUUGACCGCCUGGGGAGUACGGCCGCAAGGUUA
rnacentral:rRNA from 1 species